rnacentral:miRNA from 1 species
GAGAGAGAGAGAGAGAGAGAGAGAGAAUUUAAAUAGUCGCAUUGUGUAGGAGUGAAUGGGAUGAGGUCGCUUUUGGGCACAAACACCAUCAAUAGUCAAUGGACGUGUUGUUCCCUCACUUCUCGCUUUCUC